CAGUAGCCACGGUAAUACGAAGGGUGCAAGCGUUAAUCGGAAUUACUGGGCGUAAAGCGUGCGUAGGCGGUUUGUUAAGUCUGUUGUGAAAUCCCCGGGCUCAACCUGGGAAUGGCAAUGGAUACUGGCAAGCUAGAGUGUGUCAGAGGAUAGUGGAAUUCCCGGUGUAGCGGUGAAAUGCGUAGAGAUCGGGAGGAACACCGAUGGCGAAGGCAGCCCCCUGGGCCAAUACUGACGCUCAUGCACGAAAGCGUAGGGAGCAAACAGGAUUAGAUACCCCCGUAGUCCCUGUCUCUUAUAC
rnacentral:rRNA from 1 species